AUUGAACGCUGGCGGCAGGCCUAACACAUGCAAGUCGAGCGGAGCGGCGGACGGGUGAGUAAUGCCUAGGAAUCUGCCUGGUAGUGGGGGAUAACGUCCGGAAACGGGCGCUAAUACCGCAUACGAUCAGAUGAGCCUAGGUCGGAUUAGCUAGUUGGUGGGGUAAAGACCUACCAAGGCGACGAUCCGUAACUGGUCUGAGAGGAUGAUCAGUCACACUGGAACAGAGACACGGCCCAGACUCAGACGGGAGGCAGCAGUGGGGGAUAUUGCACAAUGGGCGAAAGGCUGAUGCAGCGACGAGGCGUGGGGGAUGAAGGCUUUCGGGUUGUAAACCUCUUUCGAUAUCGAACGGGUAGGUGGAGAAGAAGCGCCGGCUAACUACGUGCCAGCAGCCGCGGUAAUAC
rnacentral:rRNA from 1 species